rnacentral:tRNA from 1 species
GGGGAAUUAGCUCAAAUGGUAGAGCGCUUGCUUAGCAUGCAGAGAUAGUGGGAUCGAUGCCCACAUUCUCCA